CUAGUACUCCCUCCGUUCCAUAAUUCUUGUCGAAAUAUUACAUGUAUCUAGACGUGUUUUUUAGGAAUAGAUACAUCCAUUUUUGGGUUAAUUUGAGACAAGAAUUAUGGAACGGAGGGAGUAGCAU
rfam:Brachypodium distachyon strain Bd21 chromosome 3, whole genome shotgun sequence.